ACAUCCAGAGAACUUAGCAGAGAUGCUUUGGUGCCUUCGGGAACUCUGAGACAGGUGCUGCAUGGCUGUCGUCAGCUUCGUGUUGUGAAAUGUUGGUUAAGUCCCGCAACGAGCGCAACCCUUUAUCCUUUGUUGCCAGCGGCUCGGCCGGGAACUCAAAGGAGACUGCCGGUGAUAAACCGGAGGAAGGUGGGGAUGACGUCAAGUCAUCAUGGCCCUUACGGCCAGGGCUACACACGUGCUACAAUGGCGCAUACAAAGAGAAGCGACCUCGCGGGAGCAAGCGGACCUCAUAAAGUGCGUCGUAGUCCGGAUUGGAGUCUGCAACUCGACUCCAUGAAGUCGGAAUCGCUAGUAAUCGUAGAUCAGAAUGCUACGGUGAAUACGUUCCCGGGCCUUGUACACACCGCCCGUCACACCAUGGGAGUGGGUUGCAAAAGAAGUAGGUAGCUUAACCUUCGGGAGGGCGCUUACCACUUUGUGAUUCAUGACUGGGGUGAAGUCGUAACAAGGUAAGCGUAGCGAG
rnacentral:rRNA from 1 species